rnacentral:lncRNA from 1 species
UGAAACAAAAGCCAACUUUCUCUCUCUGUCUCAGCCUGGCUUCAUCUCAAGUGAACGGACAACAUAGAAGACACUCCUCCCAGUGUGUCUUCCUGUCUGGAGUGGGAGGACAGUUGGAGGUGGCUGUGUGUUUAGCUGAAGGGGAAAACCACCUGCCUCCAUCUCCUGGAGGAACACAUGGAACUCUACUUCAACCACAGCCAGCACUAUAGAGACCAUACAGAACCAAGACGGCUCCUACUCUGUGGAGAGACGGUUGGUCCUGCCUGACAGUGGCUCUGAUCUGUGCUGUCAUACACCCCUCCAGGGCAGAGAAGCAUAUUGAGACAAACCUGGCAUUUUGUGGGAAGAAGCAGUCUGGUAAUUUGGGGAUGGACAUCUCUCAUAUCCUUAAGAUUGCAGGCAUCUGCACAAUUCCCAUCCUCCUGACCAUGGCGUAUGUAGUGAGAGGAGGAUGCAAGAAACCAUCUCAGGAAUCAGAAGUGGAACUGAGUGAGCUGAGCAUACAGGAAGCUGACGUAGAACAACGAGGCAGUAUGUGUGAGAC